GGUUGUAUGCAUAAAGCAUAUAACUAAAUAUAUAUAAACUUAUGCGCACGGAAAUUUUAGUGUGUAAAUUGACUGUCUUUGCUAACUAGAUUCAUGCUGAAAAUUAUGAAUUUUUUCAACUUUCAGUAGAUAAAUAAUAGUUAUUUGCGGUGAAUGUAGUAAAU